UUGAAAUGGUACGCGAUGACUCUGCAUCGUCUGAAAAGAGAGAUGAAGCAGUGACCAAGAGGAGGGAAUUAUCGAUCGACCACAUCAAUAAGAAGCAGGGAAAAAAAGAGAGACGUUGCUGCGUCAAAACGGAGGAAGCGGGUCCCGCAUCCCUGAGGCGAUGGCCAAAAUCGGAUGGAGAUGCGCCCAAAUGACUGCGAGGAUGUCUCCCUGCAGACGCCUUACUUCCUGCACUUCCCGGAUGGUAGAAAGCGGAAGCAGACAACGAUAACGAAGAUGGAGCACUUCAAAAG